rnacentral:rRNA from 1 species
UACGGAGGAUGCGAGCGUUAUCCGGAUUUAUUGGGUUUAAAGGGUGCGCAGGCGGAAUGUCAAGUCAGCGGUAAAAUUUCGGGGCUCAACCCCGUCGUGCCGUUGAAACUGGCGUUCUUGAGUGAGCGAGAAGUAUGCGGAAUGCGCAGUGUAGCGGUGAAAUGCUUAGAUAUUGCGCAGAACUCCGAUUGCGAAGGCAGCAUACCGGCGGCGAUCUGACGCUGAGGCACGAAAGCGUGGGUAUCGAACAGG